CACGUAGGCACCAAGCGUUGUCCGGAUUUAUUGGGCGUAAAGAGCUCGUAGGCGGUUCAGCAAGUCGGGUGUGAAAACUAUGGGCUUAACCCAUAGCCUGCAUCCGAAACUGCUGUGACUAGAGUUCGGUAGGGGAGAGGGGAAUUCCUAGUGUAGCGGUGAAAUGCGCAGAUAUUAGGAGGAACACCGAUGGCGAAGGCACCUCUCUGGGCCGAUACUGACGCUGAGGAGCGAAAGCGUGGGUAGCAAACAGG
rnacentral:rRNA from 1 species